UUCGAGUGGCGGACGGGUGAGUAACGCGUGGGUAACCUGCCCUACACAGGGGGAUAACACCUGGAAACAGGUGCUAAUACCGCAUAAGCGCACAGGGCCGCAUGGCCCGGUGUGAAAAACUCCGGUGGUGUAAGAUGGACCCGCGUCUGGCUAGCUUGUUGGCGGGGUAGAGGCCCACCAAGGCGACGAUCAGUAGCCGGCCUGAGAGGGUGGACGGCCACAUUGGGACUGAGACACGGCCCAAACUCCUACGGAAGGCAGCAG
rnacentral:rRNA from 1 species